rnacentral:pre_miRNA from 1 species
GGAGAAGCUGUUUUUCGCGUAUGCUGGUUGCAGCUGACCCAAUUGUUAGUCAACGAUCAAUUGGUCCCCUCCAACCAGCUAACGAGAAAAUCGUUCAAUUCUCC